UACGGGGGGGGCAAGCGUUGUUCGGAAUUACUGGGCGUAAAGGGCUCGUAGGCGGCCAACUAAGUCAGACGUGAAAUCCCUAGGCUCAACCUAGGAACUGCGUCUGAUACUGGAUGGCUUGAAUCCGGGAGAGGGAUGCAGAAUUCCAGGUGUAGCGGUGAAAUGCGUAGAUAUCUGGAGGAAUACCGGUGGCGAAGGCGGCAUCCUGGACCGGCAUUGACGCUGAGGAGCGAAAGCCAGGGGAGCAAAGCGGG
rnacentral:rRNA from 1 species